GGAGCCGCGGUGGCGCAUGCGCAAGAUAAGUGCGCCGGCAAGUGGCGUCUCCGCCGGACAUGCUGCGCCUCGGCGGUCUCUGGGUCUUGAGACUGUGGUCGCCCGCGGCUGGGGUCCCAGCAAAGAACCUCGGCCUCAGGGAGGUCGCCUCCGGCGUUUCUUCCCCGGGCAGCACCUCGCCCAGAGCCCUAAAUAUCUUCGAUCGGGAUUUGAAGAGGAAACAGAAAAACUGGGCGGCCCGGCAGCCUGAGCCGAUGAAGUUCGACUACCUGAAGGAGGAGGUUGGAAGUCGGAUCGCAGACCGUGUGUAUGACAUAGCCAGAAAUUUUUCCCUUGCUUUGGAUGUUGGUUGUGGAAGAGGAUACAUAGCACAACAUUUGAACAAGGAAACUGUUGGAAAGUUUUUCCAAGUAGACAUUGCAGAAAAUGCUUUGAAAAAUAUCUUAGAAAUGGAAAUUCCUACUGUCAACAUUUUAGCUGAUGAAGAGUUCCUUCCCUUCAGAGAAAAUACAUUUGACUUGGUGGUUAGCAGUUUAAGUUUACACUGGGUGAAUGACCUUCCUAGAGCGCUUGAACAGAUUCAUUACGUUUUAAAACCAGAUGGAGUAUUUAUUGGUGCAAUGUUUGGAGGUGACACACUCUAUGAACUUCGAUGUUCACUACAGUUGGCAGAAACAGAAAGGGAAGGAGGAUUUUCUCCACAUGUUUCUCCUUUCACUGCUGUCAGUGACUUAGGACAUCUGCUUGGGAGAGCUGGCUUUAAUACACUGACUGUGGAUACUGAUGAAAUUCAAGUUAACUAUCCUGGGAUGUUUGAAUUGAUGGAAGAUUUACAAGAAUGGAGAGAUGAUGGGAAGUGAUGCAGCAUAGUCCACCAGAGGCUUCCAGAUUUUAUCAGAAAAAAAGUCCAGAAUGUUGACAUAAUUUUACAAAACAAGUGUGUAUCAGCUGAUGAAUGCAUGAAAAGUUUUGGAGGCUUUCACAGUAGUUUUAAGGUAUGGGUGAGAGUAACUGUGCUUGGAAUAGAAAAGGCCUGCUGCACCGAGACACGAUGCUGGCAGCCGCAGCGGUAUACAGAGAAAUGUACAAAAAUGAAGAUGGUUCAGUACCUGCCACGUAUCAGAUCUAU